UACAGAGGUCCCAAGCGUUGUUCGGAUUCACUGGGCGUAAAGGGUGCGCAGGUGGCGCUUCAAGUUUGAUGUGAAAGCUUCGGGCUCAACCCGGAAAUGGCAUUGAAUACUGGAGUGCUGGAGGUUUGGAGGGGGACUGGAAUUCUCGGUGUAGCAGUGAAAUGCGUAGAUAUCGAGAGGAACACCAGUGGCGAAGGCGAGUCCCUGGGACAACACCUGACACUGAGGCACGAAAGCCCGGGGGGAGCGAAACAGG
rnacentral:rRNA from 1 species